rnacentral:rRNA from 1 species
AACGAACGCUGGCGGCAGGCUUAACACAUGCAAGUCGAACGGGCGUAGCAAUACGUCAGUGGCAGACGGGUGAGUAACACGUGGGAACCUUCCUAGGGGUACGGAACAACUCAGGGAAACUUGAGCUAAUACCGUAUACGUCCGAGAGGAGAAAGAUUUAUCGCCCUUAGACGGGCCCGCGUCGGAUUAGGUAGUUGGUGGGGUAACGGCCUACCAAGCCGACGAUCCGUAGCUGAUCUGAGAGGAUGAUCAGCCACACUGGGACUGAGACACGGCCCAGACUCCUACGGGAGGCAGCAGUGGGGAAUCUUGGACAAUGGGCGCAAGCCUGAUCCAGCCAUGCCGCGUGGGUGAUGAAGGCCGUAGGGUUGUAAAGCCCUUUCGGCGGGGAAGAUAAUGACGGUACCCGCAGAAGAAGCCCCGGCUAACUUCGUGCCAGCCGCCGCGGUAACAC